rnacentral:lncRNA from 1 species
UCUUUUCAUCCUAAUUGUCGUUAAUCUAGUUGUACACUUGCUCUGAUAUCUCUAAUUAUUUUAUUUCCUUACUUUCACACUCUAUUGUUGUUAGACGCCUUAUAUGUGUAGGCAUAUGGCGGAUCUAGACACGCGCACGCCCCAGAUCCGAUCCCUCAUCAGCUAAAUCGCUUGAUCCAAUCGAAAGGCGCAAACUUCAAGGGUCACUAAUCAUAGCCGUUCCGCAUUCCAACACACUUUCCGAGAGAGAUCUUUGACCCG